rnacentral:rRNA from 1 species
UGAAUACGAGAUGCUACGGCGUCGAAGCAGUCUAUGUCACACUUCCAAGAAAAGCUUGCACUGUCAUAAACAAAUAAUGCCUGUACCAUAACCGACACAGGUGGGUAGGUAGAGUAUACUAAGGGGCGCGAGAUAACUCUCUCUAAGGAACUCGGCAAAAUGACUCCGUAACUUCGGGAGAAGGAGUGCCUUAUUUAUAAGGUUGCAAUAACAAGAUCCAAGCAACUGUUUACCAAAAACACAGGUCUCCGCUAAGUCGUAAGACGAUGUAUGGGGGCUGACGCCUGCCCAGUGCCAGAAGGUUAAAGAAGUUGGUUAGCAUCCGCGAAGCUGAUAACUGAAGCCCUGGUGAACGGCGGCCGUAACGAUAACGGUCCUAAGGUAGCGAAAUUCCUUGUCGGGUAAGUUCCGACCCGCACGAAAGGCGUAAUGAUUUGGAUACUGUCUCGGAGAGGGGCUCGGUGAAAUAGACUUGUCUGUGAAGAUGCGGACUACCUGCACCAGGACAGAAAGACCCUAUGAAGCUUUACUGUAACCUGAAAUUGAAAUUGGACUUUACUUGCGCAGUAUAGGUGGGAGGCGUUGAGAAUAUUCUUGCGGGAUUAUUGGAGCCAUCAGUGAGAUACCACUCUUGUAAUGUUAGAUUUCUGACUUUGUAUCAUUAUCUGGUCAAAGAACAGUUUCAGGCGGGCAGUUUGACUGGGGCGGUCGCCUCCUAAACGGUAACGGAGGCGCACAAAGGUUUCCUCUGAACGGGUAGAAAUCGUAUCUAGAGUGUAAAGGCAUAAGGAAGCUUGACUGUGAGACCUACAAGUCGAGCAGGGACGAAAGUCGGUCUUAGUGAUCUGACGGUGCUGAGUGGAAAGGCCGUCACUCAACGGAUAAAAGUUACUCUAAGGAUAACAGGCUGAUCUCCCCCAAGAGUUCACAUCGACGGGGAGGUUUGGCACCUCGAUGUCGGCUCAUCGCAUCCUGGGGCGGUAGUACGUCCCAAGGGUUGGGCUGUUCGCCCAUGAAAGCGGUACGCGAGCUGGGUUCAGAACGUCGUGAGACAGUUCGGUCCAUAUCCGGUGUAGGCGUUAGAAUAUUGAGAGGAGCCUUCUUUAGUACGAGAGGACCGAGAAGGACAUACCUCUGGUGUACCAGUUAUCGUGCCAACGGUAAACGCUGGGUAGCUAUGUGUGGAGUGGAUAACCGCUGAAAGCAUCUAAGUGGGAAGCCCACCUCAAGAUAAGUAUUCUCAU